UAGCGAAUUGCAUGAACAGCAUAUUUGACCAAACUGUGCAUUUCAGCUCAGAAACAGCAUUUGAAGCGCAGGAAAAUCAGGAAGGCAACAUUGACGUGAAGUUCAUUUUGAGACACAAAGUUCUUCUUCAGAAUGACUUGAAAUGUGAUAAAUAUGAAGGAAAAUGAUGUUUAAGGUGUUGUUUAUGUAAGGAAUUGCAUAAACAGCAUAUUUCACCAAACUGUGCAUUUCAGCACAGCACCACCAUUUGAAGCGCAGAAGAGUCAUGAAGUUUGAUUUAACGUGAAGUUCAUGUUGACAAACAAAUUUCUUCCUCAGAAUGACUUGAACUGUGAUAAAUAUGAAGACAGAUGAUGUUUUAGGUGUUCUGCAUGUAGAGAAUUGCAUGAACAGUAUAUUUCACCAAACUGUGCAUUUCAGCACAGCACCACCAUUUGAAGCGCAGAAGAGUCAUGAAGUUUGAUUUAACGUGAAUUUCAUGUUGACACACAAAGUUCUUCUUCACAAUGACUUGAAGUGUGAUCAGUCUGAAGGCAGAUGAUGUUUAAGGUGUUGUCUAUGUGAGGAAUUGCAUGAACAGCAUAUUUGACCAAACUGUGCAUUUCAGCUCAGAAACAGCAUUUGAAGCGCAGGAAAAUCAGGAAGGCAACAUUGACGUGAAGUUCAUGUUGACACACAAAGUUCUCCUUCAGAAUGAUUUGAAAUGUGAUAAAUAUGAAGAAAAAUGAUGUUUUAAGUGCUCUGGAUGUAACGAAUUGCAGGGACAACAUUAUUGGAGCAAAAUGUCAAUUUGAGCUCAGAAACAGCAUUUGAAGCGCAGACAAGUCAUGAAGGCUACAUUAACGCGAAUUUCAUGUUGACACACAAAUUUCUUCUUCAGAAUGAUUUCAAAUGUGAUCAGUAGGAAGGCAAAUGAUGUUUGAGUUGACUUGGUUUGAAGGAAUCGCAUGAACAAGCAUUCACGUGAAGUCCAUGUUGACUCACAAAUUUCUUCAUCAGUAUGACUUGAAAUGUGAUAAAUAUGAAGGCAGAUGAUGUUUAAGGUGUUGUUUAUGUAAGGAAUUGCAUGAACAGCAUAUUAGACCAAACUGUGAAUUUCAACACAGCACCACCAUUUGAAGUGAAGAAGAGUCAUGAAGUUUGAUUUCACGUGAAGUUCAUGUUGACAAACAAAUUUCUUCCUCAGAAUGACUUGAACUGUGUUAAAUAUGAAGGAAAAUGAUGUUUUAGGUGUUCUGGAUGUAACGAAUUGCAGGGACAACAUAUUUGAGCAAAAUGUCAAUUUGAGCUCAGAAACAGCAUUUGAAGCGCAGGAAAAUCAGGAAGGCAACAUUGACGUGAAUUUCAUGUUGACACACAAAGUUCUUCUUCAGAAUGACUUGAAAUGUGAUAAACAUGAAGGAAAAUGAUGUUUUAGGUGUUCUGCAUGUAGCGAAUUGCAUGAACAGCAUAUUUGACCAAACUGUGCAUUUCAGCUCAGAAACAGCAUUUGAAGCGCAGGAAAAUCAGGAAGGCAACAUUGACGUGAAUUUCAUGUUGACACACAAAGUUCUUCUUCAGAAUGACUUGAAAUGUGAUCAGUAUGAAGGCAGAUGAUGUUUAAGGUGUUGUUUAUGUAAGGAAUUGCAUGAACAGCAUAUUUCACCAAACUCUGCAUUUCAGCACAACACGACCACUUGAAGCGCAGAAGAGUCAUGAAGUUUGAUUUAACGUGAAGUCCAUGUUGACUCACAAAGUUCUUCUUCAGAAUGCCUUGAAAUGUGAUAGAUAUGAAGGAAAAUGAUGUUUUAAGUGUUCUGCAUGUAGCGAAUUGCAUGAGCAGCAUAUUAGACCAAACUGUCAUUUCAGCACAGCACCACCAUUUGAAGCGCAGAAGAGUCAUGAAGUUUGAUUUAACGUGAAAUUCAUGUUGACAAACAAAUUUCUUACUCAGAAUGACUUGAACUGUGAUAAAUAUGAAGGAAAAUGAUGUUUUCGGUCUUCUGGAUGUAACGAAUUGCAGGGACAACAUAUUUGAGCAAAAUGUCAAUUUGAGCUCAGAAACAGCAUUUGAAGCGCAGACAAGUCAUGAAGGCUACAUUAACGCGAAUUUCAUGUUGACACACAAAUUUCUUCUUCAGAAUGAUUUGAAAUGUGAUCGGUAGGAAGGCAAAUGAUGUUUGAGUUGACUUGGUUUGAAGGAAUGGCAUGAACACAUAUUCACGUGAAGUUCAUGUUGACAGACAAAUUUGUUUCUCAGAAUGACUUGAACUGUGUUAAAUAUGAAGGAAAAUGAUGUUUUAGGUGUUCUGGAUGUAACGAAUUGCAGGGACAACAUAUUUGAGCAAAAUGUCAAUUUGAGCUCAGAAACAGCAUUUGAAGCGCAGGAAAAUCAGGAAGGCAACAUUGACGUGAAUUUCAUGUUGACACACAAAGUUCUUCUUCAGAAUGACUUGAAAUGUGAUAAACAUGAAGGAAAAUGAUGUUUUAGGUGUUCUGCAUGUAGCGAAUUGCAUGAACAGCAUAUUUGACCAAACUGUGCAUUUCAGCUCAGAAACAGCAUUUGAAGCACAGGAAAAUCAGGAAGGCAACAUUGACGUGAAUUUCAUGUUGACACAAAAAUUUCUUCUUCAGAAUGAUUUGAAAUGUGAUCGGUAGGAAGGCAAAUGAUGUUUGAGUUGACUUGGUUUGAAGGAAUGGCAUGAACACACAUUCACGUGAAAUUCAUGUUGACAGACAAUUUUGUUACUCAGAAUGACUUGAAAUGUGAUAAAUAUGAAGGCAGAUGAUGUUUAAGGUGUUGUUUAUGUAAGGAAUUGCAUGAACAGCAUAUUAGACCAAACUGUGAAUUUCAACACAGCACCACCAUUUGAAGUGAAGAAGAAUCAUGAAGUUUGAUUUCACGUGAAGUUCAUGUUGACAAACAAAUUUCUUCCUCAGAAUGACUUGAAAUGUGUUAAAUAUGAAGGAAAAUGAUGUUUUAGGUGUUCUGGAUGUAACGAAUUGCAGGGACAACAUAUUUGAGCAAAAUGUCAAUUUGAGCUCAGAAACAGCAUUUGAAGCGCAGGAAAAUCAGGAAGGCAACAUUGACGUGAAUUUCAUGUUGACACACAAAGUUCUUCUUCAGAAUGACUUGAAAUGUGAUAAACAUGAAGGAAAAUGAUGUUUUAGGUGUUCUGCAUGUAGCGAAUUGCAUGAACAGCAUAUUUGACCAAACUGUGCAUUUCAGCUCAGAAACAGCAUUUGAAGCGCAGGAAAAUCAGGAAGGCAACAUUGACGUGAAUUUCAUGUUGACUCACAAAGUUCUUCUUCACAAUGACUUGAAAUGUGAUCAGUAUGAAGGCAGAUGAUUUUUUAGGUGUUCUGCAUGUAGCGAAUUGCAUGAACAGCAUUUUUUUUACCAAACUGUGCAUUUCAGCUCAGAAACAGCAUUUGAAGCUGUCAAGUAAGAUGCAGAAGUUGAGGUCUCAGAGAGGACUCAGGCUCAUUAUGGCCCUAAGGUAACAAAGGUUCUGAAGCAGACAAAUAAAGGUCUUAAGAAGAAACAUUAUAAGUUAACCAUAUGAUUAUGCUUGCUAAAAUACAUAUAUAUUUUUUUGAAGUGUUGAUUUGAUUGAAGUAAUGAUUCAGAUGAUUUAUUAUGUUCAGAUUGAGAAGAAUGAUUUAAGAAGUGAUUCUGUGUGAAGUAAUCCUUGUUUAGGCUCUGUGUGUGCGUACAGGCCUCAUAAGCUUGUGUGUCCAGGCCUUAAGAAAGCAGAAGUGCAGUAAACAACAGUCACCAUGACUCGGCAGCCACAAUGACAUUGCAG